CGAAACGGGUGAGGAAUACAGUGGGUAACCUACCCUUGAGAAGGGAAUAACCCGACCGAAAGGUGAGCUAAUACCCUAUACGCUAUUCUUUUUUACGAAAAGGAUAGGAAAGCCGGGUCGAGGACCUGGUACUCAAGGAGGGGCUCAUGUCCUAUCAGCUUGUUGGUGGGGUAACGGCCUACCAAGGCUACGACGGGUAGCUGGUCUGAGAGGAUGAUCAGCCACACUGGCACUGAGAUACGGGCCAGACUCCUACGGGAGGCAGCAGUGAGGAAUAUUGCGCAAUGGGCGAAAGCCUGACGCAGCGACGCCGCGUGGGGGAUGAAGGUUUUCGGAUUGUAAACCCCUUUCAUGAGGAAAGAUAAAGCGGGUAACCACUUAGACGGUACCUCAAGAAGAAGCCACGGCUAACUUCGUG
rnacentral:rRNA from 1 species